rnacentral:rRNA from 1 species
AUGCAUAAUGGAAAGGACGGGAAAUCAGCUACUGAGAUUCUGGAUUCUCAAUAUAUUCGUCCAGCACGCGGCAUCAUCCGUAUUGACUCAAAGUACAGAUUUUCUCCUUCUCAUGUUGAGGUCCUCCAUGAAGAUAGCUGGUGGCCUGGUGUUAUUCUGAAGGUCUUAGGUACUGGGAUCGACAAGAAGUAUGUAGUAAUGUUGGAUUGUCACAAGACAGAUCUUGAUGAGAUCGAUAUGGAUGCGCUGAGGGUUGAAAUUACGCAGCUCAGGUCACUCUGUGACUGGGACGGUGAAAAAUGGGUACCCUGCUUGAAGAAGGAAUCUGCAAAAAGGCCAAUUUCCGCUGACUUGGAUAAUGAUUUGGAUAAAAUCAGUGAUGAACCUGGUUCUCAUCAAGACAAAAAGAAGUUGAAGAAUGCACAUGUGUUACCAGAACAAAUUUCUCCCCUUUUGUCUGUUGGUAAAGAAAACAUUGAAAUUACUCGUAAGCCGGGAAAUGCAGGAAAUGCAGUAUUGGCACCAAGAUCUGAGUUGUCACCUCCUUCACUGCCACCAAUGGCAUCAUUUGGCCGUCUGAGUUCUUCAUCUUCACCUGCUACAAGCUGUCAUCUUGCACAAUCAUCUUCUCACAUUCAGGCUUCGUUGUUUGGAGCGUUUGGACAAUCAAGGCCUAUUCCACAGGGCCUGCCAUUAGGAACGCGAUCGCUUAUUAGCUCAUGUUUUACCGGUAUUAAAGGGUCAAAAAAAGUAUUAAGCGGUCAGGAUAAGCAGUCAACUGCUGGAACUGGGGCUGUACUGUUCAGACAAAUGAAGGGAUGUGUUUCUUUCCAAACAGCAGUGCCUCUAGUGGAGAAACCUGAAACUCCAAUGGAAGGGAUAGGUGCUAAAGGCAUUGAAGAAGGCAGCAACAUUAUCUCUUCCUCUGAAGACCGUUCACAAUCACACGAAGGUAAUGGAACACAUGAUUCUUGCCGUCCCUUGUCUGCGGAAACUGUGGCUGUGCAUGAGAGUAUCAUGCACACGAGUGGUUCAGAAUCCUCGGCAAUCCAGCAGCUUCCAAUUGUGAAGACCUCCCCACUGUGGGCACAGCUUGAGGCACUGGAGAUAUUCAGGACAACGCCACAGCGGCCAAAUCUGCAUCAGUUCCAGCAGCACGUUCCAGAGCUCCAUGAAGGACUGGCACUGGGUCUGAUGAUCUCUUUUGCUGAUCUGGCGGAAAGCAUAAACAGGCUGGGCGUUCAGGACGACGAUGAGCUACUCGAGCGGAAGAUGGAGUGCCUGGCUUAUCUCGAGGCAAGUGGUUUCGAUGUCGGGGACCUGAGAUCGCGCGUGGAAGCUUUAAUUCACAUGAAGAAUAGCCGUGCCGAACUGCGGGAAGCUUUGAGAAAGCUGGAGGAGGAGAUUGCUCGCGAAGAAGCCGACGGCCUAGAACUGGGCACGCUACUUCGCGCCCUGGCUAUGGCUGUCCGUCACCUUGAACUACAUGCCUAUCUUGUCCGCGGCGUAAUAAGGUCUGCCGUCGCACGGAGGAUGAACAAUGCCAUGGAGAUCUCGAGGCUCAAGGCGGAAGCGAACAAUCUGUCCACCGCCGUGCCGCGGUGA